GUUUGUAGAGAACUCAGUGUGGGGCUGUUUCUCUUAAGAACUUGUCACCUAGCCAACUGCUGCUCUGAAGAAGAAGAAGAAGAAGAAGAAGAAGAAGAAGAAGAAGAAGAAGAAGAAGAAGAGAAGAAAAGAAAUUUUUCAAAGACAAAAUGAAGAAUGUUAAAAUGAAGUGACCAUCUUGAAUCAUUAUCUGAGCAAGCCUGAAGUAACCAUCUAGCCCUUUGAUAUAAGGUCAGAGGAUGCUGUUGCUGGCUUUGAAGAUGGACAAGAGGACCACGAGCCAAAGAGCACAUGUCUGCAUGCUGGAAAAGCCUAAGAAAAGGACUCUUCCCUGGAGACUCCAGGGGGUGUGAGCCCUGCCACACCUUGAUUCUAAACACUGCUGCCCAAGAUCCAUUUCACCCUUCAGAACUGAGGGGCAAAGGACUGCCUCUGAUAGACAGGGACAGGUGGGGCACGAAAACGGCAGUUUAUAAAGAUAACCCAGGCUGUCCUGGACUUUGUAGACCAGUGCCUUUGCCUUCCAAGUGCUGGGAUUACAGGCGUGUCUUACCGCCACCACCACCACCACUGGGAUUAUUUGUUUAAGACAGAAUCUAGAUGUGUAGCUCAGGCUGGCCUUGAACUCACUCUGCAUCAUAGGCUGGCCUGGAUUUUGUGAUCGUCCUGGCUCAGCCUUUCAAGUGCUGGUGUGACAGGCAUCCAUCACCAUUCCUGACCUCCAAUCAGCUUCUCUACAAAGUAUCCAUCAUUUUAACAAACAUGCAAAGAUUGGUUGGUUUUAUAAGGCUAAUAUGAAAUUCUGGAAUGUCAUCCUUGGAGGUCAGCAAGGUGAAGAUAAGGUCUAACACUCCUACUAUGUGGGCCUCUGAUCUGAGUCCACAGCCAGGCUGGACCCGUGUUACAGACAAGAAAGAGCCCGAGCCAUGAGAAUCAAUGGUGGGGGAACCUGCAUGCUCACAGAGGCCUUCCCAGAGGAAGUGGCAUUAGCCAAGCAAGACAACUGAAGGAGAGAACAUUCUAGGCAUAGAGGUCACCCUAGCCCAGUAGUUGGUGCUAAGUCCAAUAAAGUGACACCUCCAGCUGUCUGGAGGAAUGCUGGGACUCUGUCCUAACCCUGAGGACCUGAGGAACUCUGGAAGAUGCUUGUCCAUCCUUUACAUUGUCAGACUUCCAAAGAAUUGCUCAGGAUGAGCCUUCUUGUUCAUCUACCACCUGGGACACUUUCUGUUUUCUGGAAUGGUGUGAGGAGGCUGUGGAGAGUAAUCCUAGAAUUUUUCUGGAAUAGGUUUGCCACGUAACAGUGGACCAGUCACCUCUCUCUGGACCUUGAUUUGUCCCUCUGAAAAGUAACAGCUGAGGACAAGUUGCGUCCUGGAAGGACCUCUGAUGGCACCUUUGGGAGGCAGCACUCUAUAGUGAUUAAAUCGUUGAUUAUGAGUUCAAAUCCUACCUCCAGCAUUUAUGGGAGCAUGGCCCCAUCAUUUCUCUUCUCUCGGGCUCUCUUUCCUCAUCGGUGGCCUCUGCCUCAUGUAGAGAUUAAGUGAGAUCAUAGACAUAAAGCAUUUGGUGCUGUGCCAGACCCGGCAAAUGGCAGCUGCUGUCAUUCCACUCUGUAAUGGACGUGACAUGGAAUGUGCCAGUGCUGCUGACGGCAUGAAACACGGCCUUCACCCUCAGGGUCUGCCAUGAGUGCAAGCGCUACACACAGCAACAAAAGGUUCCGACAGGAGUCCAGGGGAACACCCAGGGCUGGCUGACUGUGCCUUGGCAGAAGCUGAGGAAACUCCUUGGGAAGCCUGCUUGGUGGAUGGCAGCUGUGGGCAUGAAGACAAUCCCCAGAUGUUGUACUACAGAAGUGGACCUGGAGUGGCUAGAGAAAUGGGAUGGCAAAAGAAAAAUCCUUUGCCCUCAGCUGGUGGAGUCAGGGUGGUCGUCAGGGCAAAAUAAAGAGGACAAUAUUAGUCUUCCUUCUCUUGUGACUUGCCCUCCCGGGAGUCUCUAGCUGUUCCCAUAUCAAUCGAAUUCUAAGUGCCUGGUGUCUAUUCAGUUCACAGCUUCUGGAGUCUGACUGGCUUUUAUGCAGAAGAUGUGAAACUGUGGUCCAGAGAGGGCAGGGGCUGGCUGGAGACCCCGCGGCAGAUGAGAAUGAGGUCUCCCAGGCCACAGACCCACUGCUGUGUCAGAACGAGGCAGCCUCUUUUAAUUGCAUCAAGUCAGUGAAUGGCAGGUUGUUCCCAGGCUGCCCCAGAUGUUUCCUAUCUCCACAUUUCAUGGGAAUCCGGCCACCCAGUAAUACUGGGCUCAGUGCUUCCAGGGAGAAUGACUCCAGUUCAAGGGAGGAGUGUUGGCUGCACUGAAGUAAUGAUGCAAGGAAGGGGCUGUCAACACACACUUUUCCUGGCCUUUGAGAAAGGGGAAGUCCACCCAACAGUCUACCAUGAGUCACUGGUUCUGUGAAGGAAGCCUCAGGAAUCGGCAGAGGUAGCUGAGAGGAGAGCUAUCUGAGGAGAGGAGAGAGGCCUGGAUUCUAGAAGGAACAUUGCUACUUUGACUAACUCAGC
ensembl:lncRNA